rnacentral:lncRNA from 1 species
UAUUUUUAAAAAGGGGUAGACCAAAAGGGGCAUUACUCAAAAAUUCCCUACUAUAUAUAUAGUAGUCGAAUUUUUUUUUUUUAUAUGUUGAUUUUCUUUGUUUUUAUUUUCUUGCAACGUUUGUUAUGUUGGUUUUUUUAUUGCUGUCAUUUUUUUAUUCUAUUUUUCAUAUUGGUUGUUUUUAAAUUUUAUAUUAGUUUAGUAUUUGAAAUGUUUAUUGUUAUUUGUUUAACAAUAAAUUAGGCUAGAUAGUACGUGGUACAACCUUAUAUUUUAGAAGCUUUGAAUUCUUGUAACCCUCAAAAACUGUUAUAAAUUAUCAA